AACGAACGCUGGCGGCAUGCCUAACACAUGCAAGUCGAACGAUGCCUUCGGGCAUAGUGGCGCACGGGUGCGUAACGCGUGGGAAUCUGCCUUUCGGUUCGGAAUAACUCAGGGAAACUUGAGCUAAUACCGGAUAACGUCGCAAGACCAAAGAUUUAUCACCGAAAGAUGAGCCCGCGUAGGAUUAGCUAGUUGGUGAGGUAAAGGCUCACUAAGGCGACGACCCUUAGCUGGUCUGAGAGGAUGAUCAGCCACACUGGGACUGAGACACGGCCCAGACUCCUACGGGAAGCAGCAGUGGGGAAUAUUGGACAAUGGGCGAAAGCCUGAUCCAGCAAUGCCGCGUGAGUGAUGAAGGCCUUAGGGUUGUAAAGCUCUUUUACCCGGGAAGAUAAUGACGGUACCGGGAGAAUAAGCCCCGGCUAACUCCGUG
rnacentral:rRNA from 1 species